GGGUGAGUAACACGUGGGUAACCUGCCCAUAAGACUGGGAUAACUCCGGGAAACCGGGGCUAAUACCGGAUAACAUUUUGAACCGCAUGGUUCGAAAUUGAAAGGCGGCUUCGGCUGUCACUUAUGGAUGGACCCGCGUCGCAUUAGCUAGUUGGUGAGGUAACGGCUCACCAAGGCAACGAUGCGUAGCCGACCUGAGAGGGUGAUCGGCCACACUGGGACUGAGACACGGCCCAGACUCCUACGGGAGGCAGCAGUAGGGAAUCUUCCGCAAUGGACGAAAGUCUGACGGAGCAACGCCGCGUGAGUGAUGAAGGCUUUCGGGUCGUAAAACUCUGUUGUUAGGGAAGAACAAGUGCUAGUUGAAUAAGCUGGCACCUUGACGGUACCUAACCAGAAAGCCACGGCUAACUACGUGCCAGCAGCCGCGGUAAUACGUAGGUGGCAAGCGUUAUCCGGAAUUAUUGGGCGUAAAGCGCGCGCAGGUGGUUUCUUAAGUCUGAU
rnacentral:rRNA from 1 species